AUGACAAGCUCACAUUCGGAAGAGGGAGUAGGCGGAGGGUCAACCCAGAGUAUUUGUAAUGGUUCAGACGGGGGUGGGAAUACCGGGUCUAGGACGGUGACCUUUGGAGCUGGAACAGAACUCUUAGUACUUCCAAAUCUCGAAGACUCUGACCCUUCUAUCUACCAACUGAAGUCCCAAGAUGGAAAGUCGUCAGCUUGCCUUAUCACGGACUUCGCCCCUGAGGACAUCUCAGUUGGGAGUUCAGACGAGGAUAUGACACAAGUCAAUGGCUCCGUUGUGCAGGUGAAAGACCCAGACAGCGGAAAAACGGAAGCAAGCUAUGGGACGGUGCUUUGGAGAGAAGAGAAGCCGCUUCACUGCAUCGCCAAACAUAAAACGAGAGAAUUCAAGAUGGGCGACAGUGAUGAGGAAGGUGACACCUGCGGGAUGAUAGAGAUGGAUGACAAUUUUGAGACAGACGAGAAGCUGAACCUCCUGUCAUUCACGCUGCUGGGCCUGAGAAUCGUUUUUGUGAAAGGAGUGGCGGUUAACCUGCUACUGACCAUCUGGCUGUGGAAAAGCUAAAGAGUGGAAGGAAAGAGGACAGAUGGAAUCUGGAGUGAUGGGAAUUCCUCAGAGACCUGCUGUCAUCUCUUCACCUUCCCAUGCAGCAGGAAAUCGAAUGCAAUGAAUGAUCCCCAUAUCACCUCUGUAGUUAGGCCUGAUGUAUAAUGAUCGGCUGUGCUUCCAUUUAGCGAGUUUUAGAAGGAUCUCACCUACCUAGCCUGGUUUUUCCAUGACCCUCAUUUCUUUCACCCUCCACAGACUGACACAUUUCUCCUCACAAGCUCCCAGUGUGAGGCAAGGAAUUGCUAUUAA